CCCUUAGAUGUUCUGGGUCGCACGCGUGCUACACUGACCGGCGCAACAAGCUUUUUUCCUUGGCUCGACAGGCCUGGGUAAUCUUCGAACGCCGGUCGUGAUGGGGAUAGAUCCUUGCAAUUUUUGAUCUUCAACGAGGAAUUCCUAGUAAAUGCGAGUCAUCAUCUCGCGUUGAUUACGUCCCUGCCCUUUGUACACACCGCCCGUCGCACCUACCGAUUGAAUGGUCCGGUGAAGCCUCCGGAUUGCACAGGCCCCGUGUCUGGCGCGAGAAGUUGGCUAAACCUUACCAUUUAGAGGAAGGUGAAGUCGUAACA
rnacentral:rRNA from 1 species